rnacentral:rRNA from 1 species
GACGAACGCUGGCGGCGUGCUUAACACAUGCAAGUCGAACGGAAUGUCCCUGCUUUUGUUGGGUGCUCGAGUGGCGAACGGUUGAGUAACACGUGAGUAACCUGCCCUUGACUUUGGGAUAACUUCACGAAACUGGUGCUAAUACCGGAUCGGUGCUCCUGCUGCAUGGUGGGGGUUGUAACGUUUCGGCGGUUGGGGAUGGACUCGCGUCUUAUCAGCUUGUUGGUGGGGUAGUGGCUUACCAAGGCUUUGACUGGUAGCCGGCCUGGGAGGGGGAACGGCCACAAUGGGAAUGAGGACAGGGCCAAAACCCUAAGGGAGGGAGGAGGGGAGGAUAAUGCAAAAAGGGCGGAAGCCUGAUGCAGCAACGCCGGGUGCGGGAUGAAGGCCUUCGGGUUGGAAACCGCUUUUGACAGUGAAGAAGCGUGAGUGACGGUAAUGGGUAAAGAAGCACCGGCUAACUACGUG